rnacentral:lncRNA from 1 species
GUUGGUCGAGGACAUGAGCCAUCAACAAAUCCGAUUUUGUUUUUAGCAGAUAAGGCAACAAUCAUCUUCCUCCUCCAACCUCCAUAACCACUGCCUUAAAAGGGAGUGGACACAAGAGACAUACCAGGAACGUCGGAGGAGUAAAUUAGGAUGGGACUAGUAGAGUCUGCGAGGGAGGUAUUAGUAUUCGUAUUAUCAGCCAUGAAUAAUGAACAAGCUUAACAACACAGAAAUAGUCUCAAUGAAUAGACCACAAUCAAACCAGAACUGGCAUGCAACAUAUACGACACUUAGAACAGAGAAAGUGUUACCAUCCUUAUUCGCGACCGGAGAAGAACGACCUUCAACCACCGGAUGAAACUAAGUCCGGUCACCGGAGAUUGCAAUCAAACGGAAACUUACCAGAAUCAGGUCACAAACGUCAGAAGCUUACCCAAAACGUAUAUCGACCGAAGGUAAAAUCAUCGGAUAACAUCAAAACCCCUGGUCUGAAAGUCGGAAAACCCUAGAUUUGAAGAACUCACCGGAAUAAGACCAGAGAUGUCGGAAAAUCACCCAAAACAUCUGCUGAUACAUGAUCGGAGCCUCAAACAGUCAGAAAAGUCCCGAUUAUCCGAUUAACAUUCAUCGAAAAAUACACAAACAGUAUUUUUCUCAGAUGACCGAAAAAAACUUCAGCAAAAGCUUCAGCAAGUAUCGAUAACACAUAACAGAGAGAGAUCAGAAGAUUUUCCGGCUCUGAUACCAUGAAAACAUAUGAGUUUAGUGCCGGAAAAAUGAACGAGAAUGAAGAGAGAUGAUGAACACAGAGAAGGAGAGGGAAGCUUCUGG